rnacentral:rRNA from 1 species
UACGAGGGGGGCGAGCGUUGUUCGGAAUUAUUGGGCGUAAAGGGUGCGUAGGCGGUUCCGCAAGUCCUGUGUGAAAUCUUCGGGCUCAACUCGAAGUCUGCACGGGAAACUGCGGGGCUUGAGUGUGGGAGAGGUGAGUGGAAUCCCCGGUGUAGCGGUGAAAUGCGUAGAUAUCGGAAGGAACACCAGUGGCGAAAGCGGCUUCCUGGUCCGACACCGACGUUCAGGCACGAAAGCGUGGGGAGCAAACAGG